rnacentral:rRNA from 1 species
GGCGAACGCUGGCGGCGUGCCUAAUACAUGCAAGUCGAGCGGACGGAUGGGAGCUUGCUCCCAGACCGUCAGCGGCGGACGGGUGAGUAACACGUGGGCAACCUGCCUGUAAGACUGGGAUAACUCCGGGAAACCGGGGCUAAUACCGGAUAACUCUUUCCCUCACAUGAGGGAAAGCUGAAAGAUGGCAUCUCGCUAUCACUUACAGAUGGGCCCGCGGCGCAUUAGCUAGUUGGUGAGGUAACGGCUCACCAAGGCGACGAUGCGUAGCCGACCUGAGAGGGUGAUCGGCCACACUGGGACUGAGACACGGCCCAGACUCCUACGGGAGGCAGCAGUAGGAACUCUUCCGCAAUGGACGAAAGUCUGACGGAGCAACGCCGCGUGAGUGAUGAAGGUUUUCGGAUCGUAAAACUCUGUUGUCAGGGAAGAACAAGUACCGGAGUAACUGCCGGUACCUUGACGGUACCGGACCAGAAAGCCACGGCUAACUACGU